GGACUACUAGGGUAUCUAAUCCUGUUUGCUCCCCACGCUUUCGAGCCUCAGCGUCAGAAACGUUCCAGAGCGCCGCCUUCGCCACCGGCCUUCCUCCCGAUCUCUACGCAUUUCACCGCUACACCGGGAAUUCCGCGCUCCUCUCCCGUCCUCUAGCCUGGCAGUCCCCUCUGAACUUUCCGGGUUGAGCCCGAAGAUUUCACGGAGGGCUUACCAAACCGCCUACGCUCCCUGUACGCCCAGUAAAUCCGAACAACGCUUGCCACCUUCGUAUUACCGCGGCUGCUGGCAC
rnacentral:rRNA from 1 species